GAGUUUGAUCCUGGCUCAGGAUUAACGCUGGCGGCAUGCCUAAUACAUGCAAGUCGAACGGAGUAGCAAUACUUAGUGGCGAACGGGUGAGUAACACGUAUCUAAUCUACCAUUUAGUGGGGAAUAACUGUUGGAAACGACAGCUAAUACCGCAUAAUAUUGCUGGAUAAUUUCCAGUAAUGAAAGGAGCUUUCAAGCUCCGCUGAUUGAUGAGGAUGCGGCGCAUUAGCUAGUUGGUAGGGUAAUGGCCUACCAAGGCAAUGAUGCGUAGCCGAUCUGAGAGGAUGAACGGCCACAUUGGGACUGAGACACGGCCCAAACUUCUACGGAAGGCAGCAGUAGGGAAUUUUUCACAAUGGGCGAAAGCCUGAUGGAGCAAUGCCGCGUGACUGAUGAAGGUCUUCGGAUUGUAAAGGUCUGUUGUAAGGGAAGAAAUGGUAAAACAGGAAAUGGUUUUAUCUAUGACGGUACCUUACCAGAAAGCCACGGCUAACUAUGUGCCAGCAGCCGCGGUAAUACAUAGGUGGCAAGCGUUAUCCGGAUUUAUUGGGCGUAAAGGGUGCGUAGACGGUUUUGCAAGUCUGAGGUUAAAUUUAGGAGCUCAACUCCUAAUCGCCUUGGAAACUACAAGACUAGAGUAUAGGAGAGGUUAGUGGAAUUCCAUGUGUAGCGGUGGAAUGUGUAGAUAUAUGGAGGGAACACCAGUGGCGAA
rnacentral:rRNA from 1 species